AAACAUGGUAAUUAAAUAAAGAUGAUGAAACAAGAAGGGGAACUGAUAAAAUCUGACAUAGGUCGGUGUUGGAACCCACAUGGCGUAGCGUUGUGUAUGGCUUGCACGCUGGUUAUAUGUCUAGGAAACUUGUUCUUGGUCAUUGUGUUGACAUUUCUGAUAAGGAGCCGGCACCGGCCAACGUAAAUAAAUCUUGCAAUAAUUUGUAAUUAUAAUUAAUUAUAUGUUAUUAUUUUUAUAUUAGAGAAGUGUCAGAGUUCUAAUCUCUAUUUUUAUACAAAUACACAAGUACUAACCGACAUAAGAGUUAGUUGUUUAUAGUCAAGUACUGAUCACUAAUUUUUUUUUUUAACGAAUGCAGCCUCAAGUCAAGCUCGAACAAAGAUCAGCCAAAGGCCGUCUCUGUCGAUUCCUCCACCGGCUUUCGUGGUGUUUCGCCAUCCUAUCUUCUCCUCGCUUUCGCCAUUUUAGCAACAACUCGAACAUUUUGGCAAGCUCUUUUGACAAUGCCAAACUGCCGGCAAUAGUUUUUUAACGAUGCCAAAAUACCGGCAGUAGUUUUUAGGUAGUUUUCUCCUAGGGUUUUUAGGGUUUAGAGGACGAACCAGUAGCCAAGAUUGAUUGAUGAUUCUUUCUCCUCCCUAGCUCUUCUUUAACGUCUACAAGAAAGUUGGAAAAUUAUUAGUAUUGUUAUUGUUACGAUUCUUUGUUAAAUUUUUUUUAAUGAAGAUUCGAAUUGAAGAUACCAUGGAUGAUUAUCAUAAAGGUGAAGAAUACAAAGACGAAUACAUCAGCAGUCACGUUUUCUGAUUCAGAGUGGGGACAAGAUGACAGAUUGCUGCCCUAAUGGAGCUCCUUCGUUCUUUAGCUAUAUAUAUACAUAUAUAUAUAUAUUAAGUAUUUGAAAAACAAAAAAAAAAAAAAAGAAAAGAAAACAAAAGCAAUAUUGUAAGGUAGUGGGGAGACGAUUACCCAGUUGGAUUUAUGUAAAUUCUUGCAACCACCGCCUCAUUUUCAUCAUCACCAUCAUCAUCAUAUCAUUCUGCAGCCAACCAGAUGCUAGUUCAUACUCGGAACUUGUCUUUUCUUGUUCUGCACUAGGUUUUUAUAUUGUUAAAUCUUUCUUUUGUUCUUGUUUUUCUUUUCAAUUAAUAGUAGUUCUUGAUGAUUGGGUGUUGGAACUUUCUCAAUUUAGAUAAACCCAGAUGGAUCAUUAAGAUAAUUGAUUCAAAUUUGGUAAUUAACUUGUGGAGUAUGAUGAAUUAGGUCUUUCAUCCCAACUGUAAUUUGGACUGAUGCCUUCAAACUUAAUU
rnacentral:lncRNA from 1 species